CAGAAGGCACACCGAGCUUGAAUAAGCCGCAAACCGCAGACACCCACCGCCUAAGAGAUUAUUAACAGGAGCACCAGAUCCAUUCCAAAUACGAACAAACCCAGCGAGGUUUCCUGGCUGCGGCUACUGCGUGUCGUUACCUUGGAGAAACCUUGCGUUCCACCCGGGAAAAUCCUAGUUAGAAGAAGAAUUACAGUUAUCGCCAGAUUGAUUUAGUGAUAAAAAUUCACCGUAAAAGAUAAGAUUCCUUGAUUUUUCAAAAUGCACUUUGGAGCCAUCUACACGUUUGCAGCUGGGAUACAUCUAUUUUUUUUUUUAAAAAACCUCGGGUGAAAAGGAGUGUUUCCUGGAAAGUGAUUCAAGGAAGCUGCCACGGAAUUUGCUCUCUUCCGGACUUGUUGACAGGCAGUCACAUCGACAGCCAAGUGCCCUGAGCCUCUCCACCGCGCUGGCUUUUCAUUGCUUUGUUCAGCCCUGAUUCAUUUAGUUUGGGGAGAACUGCCCAAUUGUCUGUGUAUCCAUAUUGAAUUUUACUGAAGCAAGUAAAUAAACCUAUCAAAUACAGA